rnacentral:rRNA from 1 species
UACGGAGGGGGCGAGCGUUAUUCGGAAUUAUUGGGCGUAAAGGGCGCGUAGGCGGCUGUACAAGUCAAAGGUGAAAUCCCUCGGCUCAACUGAGGAACUGCCUUUGAAACUGUACGGCUUGAGGCCGGGAGGGGGUGAGCGGAAUUCCCAGUGUAGCGGUGAAAUGCGCAGAUAUCGGGAGGAACACCGGGUGGCGAAGGCGGUUCUCUGGGUCUUACCUCGACGCUGAGGAGCGAAAGCGUGGG